UGGGGCCGAGGAUAAGGGUUGGUGAGUUGAAGCAGCUGUGAUGGGUGGAACCGAACCUUGGGGAGAGGAAUUUCAUGACUUAACUCAGUAGGAAGCUGAGUUGAAGUUCCAUGUGCUAAUUUUGUACAGCUUGUAGGAGCUGUAGCAGAGGUGUUGUGGGCUGUGAUUCUUCAAUCAUAACUUUGUUAAAGUUGAGUUGGAGUUGGAUAAGCUUUGAGAUUCACUCUGAGCUGAAUACAAUGGCUCCGGAAGCUGGUUUUAAUGAUGGUUCUCCAGUCCGAAACCAAGAAAAAAGCUCCAUUAAAAUAGGGAAAAGAGUUGCAGCAGGGGAUUGGACAAUUUUAAAACUGAAUCUGUGGUCAUUGUAGCUGAGGUUAGGGUGCUCUAACCUGCAGAGAAAUGAAGGUUUAACCUAGGUCCAACCCUAGUUACUCUUCCUUGGGUGCAUUCCGGAAGUCUUCAAAGGUUGAAAUUAGUAUUUUACACUGAACCGAAGUGGAGAUUCAAGUAUUAGCCUUAUACUAGGGUACUUGGGAACUAGAGAGCAUCUUUGCUUGCAGGAUCAGCGAAAGUCGACAGCGAUUCGGUGGUUCUGACCUUCCCGAAAUGGAGCUUUCCACAGUGGUAAAGGCUAGGGAUUCCUGGCGAGGGGUCAGCGGUUUCAUAGAGUCUUCUCGAUGUUUAAUAGAUGAACCUCUACUAAUUCAUUUUGAUUUUGCUCAGUGUUGUAUUCUGGAUUUAUGUAAAUGUAUUUGUUUAAGUUGUAAUAAGGUUUUGAGCUGUAUAUGUUACUAUACUUUUAAGUUGUGCUCUGAUUACCUGGUU